ACCACAUGAAAACAUCAUUCGAGAUUUAACAUGACAGAUCGUACAAUUUGUGAUUAUAAACGUUCGUACGUACGGACAGUCAGUAUGCCUAGAACAUUUUUAGUGAAACGGACUGAGGAGAUAAUAUAUGAAAGUGAAACAAACACUGAUAUUGAUUCACUAAGAACAGCUGAUUUGGAAAUUUGUGUUAACGGGGAAUUAACGGAACCAGCUCGUGGUGAGUCAUGCACAUCGAAAGCAGACGACCCACUCCCUCUAUCUAAGCAGACGAUUGUAUCAGAGUCAUCUGUAAACGUCACCAGAAUGGACCCAUCGAGCACGUCAGCUUCCUUGAAAGGGUUGGAAUGUUGGGACGCAAACACUGACAAUUUAACAACAAAAUCUGAGAUUGAAAGUAAUAGUGUAAAACAAGACUCUAACAUGAAAAGCAUUAGCGACCUCAGUUCCAAAUCCACUGCAACAAUUUCUAAGUGCAGAAAUAAAGAGAACACAAAUUGUGAGCAAAUGAAUAUCUCGGGCGGAGAAAGUACAGGGGUACUUCUUACCAAAGCUUUGAACACUCUCGUAAGCGGUGAGUACGAAAUGAUAACACCACCUAGAAAAAACAAAUCUCCGAAGCAAAGUAGCAAAAAAGUAGCUCUGUUUCGACCGUACGAGUUAGACAACGGAAAAUCAAGUGAGAGAAAAUAUUUGAUUCCCACACAGUCGCCGAUGUUAUUUAGGUCCAAUUAUUGUAGUUCUGGACAAGAGUGGUUGAUUGAAAAACGAUCUAAAUCCGAAGCAAUCAUGAAUCGAGUGAACUAUCAUGAGGUUCCUCAGAAAACUGUCACUAGCAGCCAAAACCCAAAAGCAGAUUUGACUAAACUAGCAGAGGAAAAAAGUGAUUCCAGCAAUUCAGAAGUGACAAAAUUUAAAGAAAAUGAGCAAGCAAAAAACUCGUGUGUAAAUAACAGUUUGGAAAUUGUGUCACCGGAACCGAAGACAGUCAAACUUCCACCAGUUCUCUUACCUUUACCGCGUCCAAUAAGAUCGUCGACACCUAAAACAUCACCAUGUCCUUCACCUAAUCUGGUACAUGUAACACCUAUUCCAGAAGCAAAUUUUCAACGUAAAGAACUUGUGUCAGCCGUUAGUGGUAGUGUAUACAGUGCGUCAGCUUCUCCGGUGCCGCAGUCAAUCUACAGAUAUGAAAUGUGUGAUACUAUGAAGCCCAAAUUUAUUCCGUACCAGCAGACGCAAAGUGAUAUACCGUCUGCAGCUCAGGAACGUCCGGUUCACGUGCGAUAUCAUACGUCUGUUGGACAUCGACUUCCACUGAAGCACAGUUAUAAACAUCAGAAUUUGGCGAGCGAGCAGACGAUGGAAAGGUCGCGAUCGCCAAUUAGGCACGAGUCCGAACAAGAAAUUAGUAUAAAAGACAGAUAUCGGUCAAAUAGUUGCCCACCAAUUACAAAACAUUCGGAUAUGGCAGCUAUUAAAACUGAAACACAUACGAAUCAAUGCCAGGUACCAUCUAUUCACAAAGAGGAGUUUUAUCCAGCUCGACCAAAAACUACAUUGACGCCGUGAAGGAAACCUGGGCAGCGCACCACGCGGUUAUGACCAGCAGAAUGCCGUUGUCAAGUUGUAAUAAACCUGUUUUGCCGUCCUUUUCAACAUUUACUGACAAACUUUCAGAUAUUCAUGAUAAAACGUCAUCAGCGCCAAUUCUAAGUGAGAACAGAGUUCCAAGUCUAGACAAUAUCAAAAUAGCUGGUUCUAAUCAAAAACAUGUACGAAGUAGAAGUGAAGAAAUGCUUCAAAUAUCAGACACUUGUACUUCUCAAGUACGACCGCCGUCUACAGACACUACCUGUCGAACAAAUUUAGAAAAAACAAAACAUGUCGGUGAAGCCAUUCCAGUUAGUUGUUAUAGAAACUUUAAUAUAGAUGCAUACAAAGUUCCACAAUUUGGCAGCCAACACGCAACAAAGGCAAGAACAUGGCACGUUCCAAAAGGAAAUCGCGUAAUGUCACCGGAACCGGAAGUUGAAAUCAGUUACAAACAUACUAGUCAUGUUGAAAAAGAGAGCGAAAAAAGGACCGCGGAUGGGGUAAACAGGGCACACACAUCCGGACCCCACACAUCAGUUUCUAGUCACCAGGGCACUUGUCCAGAUAAUGUAUUGAAAAAUAUGCAUCGUCAGUGGGCAUAUGAUUCUAGUCACUAUGUUAAGCAAUAUGGCAACAUAUCAGAACACUAUGCAACGGAUUGUACGAAAAAAAGUGCAAGUUCAUGUACUAACAAUACCGCUAUCCCUGAAAUAAAGAAACAUUUCAAUCCUGCCGUAGAUAUAUACAAAGAUCCGACGACUUUUACACUGCCACUGCUAGAUCCCAAACUCCGGAUGUUUAUACCACCACAGGUCUUCAACCCGAGGUUGAUGACUACGCCUGGCCUUGCACCCGGUCUAAUGCAUCCAGUUGCAUAUUCCUCGUUUAAACGUCGAUGGACAUCAGACCUAUUCUAGAGAAGAUUUUAAACCAGACGUCACCUCAAUGUGUACAACAUUGCGACAGCAAACCCAGAAAGCGCCUUUGGUUCGAAACUCAUCCGAGGACAGAACUUAUACUGAUAGAAACCCUAUUAAGCAACUCAAACCUAGCACCAUUGACCCCCGACGUCCGCUCAGCACGUCGGCAUUACAGAACCAGCCGGUGCUGCCGACAAUGACGCCGGAACCGAAAGUGCCACUUGCACCACUCAUGAUGAUGAUGAAGAAUACUAACCAGACACCUACCGCCAAUGUUGAAGUGAUCAACGGAGGUUAUGGAAUAAAGAAUCCAACAUUUAGUGCGCCAAAGGUCCAAGACUUCCCCGAGCAAUGCG
rnacentral:misc_RNA from 1 species